GUCAGCGGCCUGCUACGCCGUUUGGGGGAUGGCUCGGCUCGAGCGCCGAAGAAGGUCGUGUCAAGCUGCGAUAAGCGCCGGGUAGGCGCAAGAAGCCUAUGAUCCGGUGAUCGCCGAAU
rnacentral:rRNA from 1 species